rnacentral:lncRNA from 1 species
AACAAUUAGAUAUAGAAUUUCAUGCACAAUCCUAUAAUGAUGAUUUUUUUUUUUUCCUUUUGGCAUUUUGCUCACACCAGAUAUUCAAAAGUGGCAUGCCACCUUGAAAAGAAAGGCAAGGUAGUCCAUUCAGACAGUCCCCUACUGCCCUCUGCCUCUUAUCUAUCAUGCACCCUGAAGGAUUUGCUUCUUCAGUUCUGCUAUAGUGUAUUUUUGGUAGAUGAUUUGCAAUGCUGUAGGAAGAGACUAGCUAACUGAAGUCAAAGCAUGAUAGCUACCCUAAAAAUGAAAUGAUGCUAUUGAUAUUAGAGUUAAAGAUGGAUCCUAAUUAUUACUUUAAAAAAAACAUAUUUUAAAUAAUAAUUCUCAUGAAUUUCA